rnacentral:rRNA from 1 species
GACGAACGCUGGCGGCGUGCUUAACACAUGCAAGUCGAACGGAAAGGCCCUGCUUUUGUGGGGUGCUCGAGUGGCGAACGGGUGAGUAACACGUGUGUAGCCUGCCCUUGACUUUGGGAUAACUUCAGGAAACUGGGGCUAAUACCGGAUAGGAGCUCCUGCUGCAUGGUGGGGGUUGGAAAGUUUCGGCGGUUGGGGAUGGACUCGCGGCUUAUCAGCUUGUUGGUGGGGUAGUGGCUUACCAAGGCUUUGACGGGUAGCCGGCCUGAGAGGGUGACCGGCCACAUUGGGACUGAGAUACGGCCCAGACUCCUACGGGAGGCAGCAGUGGGGAAUAUUGCACAAUGGGCGGAAGCCUGAUGCAGCAACGCCGCGUGCGGGAUGACGGCCUUCGGGUUGUAAACCGCUUUCGCCUGUGACGAAGCGUGAGUGACGGUAAUGGGUAAAGAAGCACCGGCUAACUACGUG